rnacentral:rRNA from 1 species
UACAGAGGGGGCAAGCGUUGUUCGGAAUUAUUGGGCGUAAAGGGUGCGUAGGCGGUGCGGUAAGUCUUCUGUGAAAUCUCCGGGCUCAACUCGGAGCCUGCAGGAGAAACUGCCGUGCUUGAGUAUGGGAGAGGUGAGUGGAAUUCCUGGUGUAGCGGUGAAAUGCGUAGAUAUCAGGAGGAACACCUGUGGCGAAAGCGGCUCACUGGCCCGGUACUGACGCUGAGGUGCGAAAGCGUGGGGAGCAAACAGG